rnacentral:lncRNA from 1 species
UCCUACCUUCAGGUCGACAUCGAAGGAAUCUAUCGAGCCGACCUCGUCUGAUGAGCUCCUCGAUCUCGUCUCGGAGCUGGAUACACUCCUCCGUGUCAUGGCCGUGGUCACGAUGAUAGAGACAGAACUUGUUAGGAUUGUGCUUCCCAAGGGGUAUGCGCAUCCUUUCCGACCUUGGCAGCUGCUCCCUGACCUUCAUCAGCACUUGAGUUUUUGAUGCGUUGAGAGGGG